AGUGAACGCUGGCGGUAGGCCUAACACAUGCAAGUCGAACGGCAGCACAGUAAGAGCUUGCUCUUACGGGUGGCGAGUGGCGGACGGGUGAGGAAUACAUCGGAAUCUACUUUUUCGUGGGGGAUAACGGAGGGAAACUUACGCUAAUACCGCAUACGACCUACGGGUGAAAGCAGGGGAUCUUCGGACCUUGCGCGAUUGAAUGAGCCGAUGUCGGAUUAGCUAGUUGGCGGGGUAAAGGCCCACCAAGGCGACGAUCCGUAGCUGGUCUGAGAGGAUGAUCAGCCACACUGGAACUGAGACACGGUCCAGACCCCUACGGGAGGCAGCAGUGGGGAAUAUUGGACAAUGGGCGCAAGCCUGAUCCAGCCAUACCGCGUGGGUGAAGAAGGCCUUCGGGUUGUAAAGCCCUUUUGUUGGGAAAGAAAAGCAGCAGGUUAAUACCCCGCUGUUCUGACGGUACCCAAAGAAUAAGCACCGGCUAACUUCGUG
rnacentral:rRNA from 1 species